UGCUCUGCUGUCCUCUGCUGUUAGCUGAUGCUCAGAGAAGCGCUCGCGCAGUGGGCGACUGCAGUUCCUGAGACCGAAUCAAACGGAACGGUAACCACGGCUCAAAUGUGACGAUGGGGAAACGCAGGAUACCAAAUUACGGAUAAAUGUGUAGGUAAUUUUCGGUCAAUAUUUUAUAAAUAGCCAAACGAAAAGAAGGUAUGACGAUGAAGAUGCUGAUGAUACGCCAGGAAUCGCGAGACCGUUGAUCGCUCACAUCAGAUGCUGAUAAUGAUCGCGCGACCUGCGUGAUCUCCUCCUGCUGGAGCUUCCUGGUUUUGCAUCACCUUAUCUGAGUCCCAGACAACCUGAAAGAAUGAUUGAGGAGGGAAGUAAAAGCAGCAAGUCUAUGGUGGAGAAGAGACAGCUCUUCAUGGAGAUGAGGGCACAAAACUUUGAUGUGAUUCGUCUUUCAACAUAUAGGACGGCAUGCAAGCUACGAUUUGUUCAAAAAAGGUGCAACCUUCACCUGGUGGACGUGUGGAACAUGAUUGAAGCAUUCCGUGACAAUGGGCUGAGCACGUUAGACCACAAUGCAGAGAUAAAUGUGUCACGCCUGGAGACCAUUUUGUCCUCCAUCUUCUACCAACUCAACAAGCGGCUGCCCACCACUCACCAGAUAAAUGUGGAGCAGUCCAUCGGCCUGCUGCUAAACUUCAUCGUGGCCACUUAUGACAGUGAAGGCCACGGGAAACUAACAGUGUUUGCUAUGAAGGCCAUGCUAGCUACCAUGUGUGGUGGUAAAAUACUGGACAAAUUACGUUAUAUAUUUUCCCAGAUAUCAGACUCCAAUGGGGUGAUGGUCUUUGCCAAGUUUGACCAGUUCUUGAGGGAGGUGCUGAAGCUCCCCACUGCAGUGUUUGAGGGCCCUUCGUUUGGCUACACCGAGCACUCUGUGAGAACAUGCUUCCCUCAGCAGAAGAAGAUCUUGCUGAAUACAUUUUUGGACGUGUUGAUGGCAGAUCCGCCCCCGCAGUACCUCGUAUGGCUACCUCUCAUGCACCGACUUGCUAAUGUAGAGAAUGUCUUCCAUCCAGUUGAAUGUUCGUACUGCCGGAGUGAGAGCAUGAUGGGUUUCCGGUACCGCUGCCAACAGUGCCAUGGCUACCAGCUUUGUCAAAGCUGUUUCUGGCGUGGUCAUGCCAGCGGUCCCCAUAGCAACCAGCACCAGAUGAAGGAACAUUCCUCAUGGAAGUCUCCAGCAAAGAAGCUCAGCCAUGCCAUCAGUAAGUCUCUGGGCUGUAUGCCGAUAGGAGAGCCCCCUCACCCUGUUUUCCCAGAGGCAGCUGAAAGACCUCAGGACCUCGCACACACUACUCAGCUGAGUCCAGUAGCCACCAGCAUGAAUGAUACCAUACUCAUUUCUUCAGGCACACCCACGCCUUCUAAAAGUAGCACUCUUGAGAGUCCCAGCAGACUGGAUGAAGAGCAUCGUCUUAUCGCUCGAUACGCUGCACGUCUGGCGGCGGAGGCCAGCAACUCUACUCAAUGCCCUCCAACAGAUCUGAGUUUCAACUUCGAUGCUAAUAAGCAACAGAGGCAGCUCAUCGCAGAAUUAGAGAACAAAAAUAGAGAGAUUCUGCAGGAAAUCCAGCGUCUACGUCUAGAACAUGAGCAGGCUUCUCAACCCACCCCUGAGAAAGCCCAGCAGAACCCCACUCUGCUGGCAGAACUACGACUGCUACGUUUUGGAAUGCCCAAUUCCCACUACUUAGUAGGUCCUCGUGGUGGUGCGGUUACUCACCUCAAUCCGGGUGGCGGAGGACAAGUCUCUGUUGUCUCCACUUCUGAGAUAGUCAAUCCAUGUAUCUUAUCACGUUGCUUGCUGUGCAUGACAUCGUGGAGACUCACAGCAUGUGGAGGCUCAUGCUAAUCUCCGCGAUCCAUGCACAACUCACCACGCGCCCCAUUGAGAGCGAGAACCACUUAAUCGUGACCAUGAGGAGGUUACCCCAUGUGACUCUACCCUCCCUAGCAACCGGGCCAAUUUGGUUGCUUAGGAGACCUGGCAGGAGUCACUCAGCACACCCUGGAUUCGAACUCGCGACUCUAGGGGUGGUAGUCAGCGUCAAUACUCGCUGAGCUACUCAGGCCCCCCUACAAAUACCAUUGUACAAAUACAAUAAUUUGUGGUUAUUGUAGUAGGUAAAACCAUGGUUAAUUUUGUGGUUACAAAAUUAUUUCAGAAAAUAAAUCCUCUACCACACGUUUAAGGUGCCCCAUAGCUUGCAGUAAAAACAAUCAUAAUUUAGUUUUACAUGACUGAUAUCUCUCUGGUUUUUGUUUUUAUUUUAAUGUAUCUUUAAGAUUAGUGUAUGGAAAUGACCUCCGUUUUGAUUGGGUAACCUCACUGAACUGUGUAUUGACACAGUUCAAACUGUGGUUCAUCUGGGCUGCUGGGCAGGGAAAGUAUAUGUACAGUUUAGAUUUCAUAAAUUGUCUCGGCAGACUUGUGAGGGUGCUUUGCGUUGUGAACGUUACAUUAUGUCCACAUACAGCAGAACAAGAAUCUCCUUUAUUUCAAAAGAGCAGAGCAAACCCUGUUUUCCAGGAUAUGUCCCUUUUAAGUAGUAUAUUUGGCAGUCAUUGAUUUGCAUGAUUCAUAUGGUGGUUAAUUUGUUAAUUUGCCAGUGAAUGCAUAUAAUAUUCUUCAGGCACAGAAAGGAUGAGCUGGAGAGGCGCAUGUCAGCACUUCAGGAAAGCAGGAGAGAACUGAUGGUACAACUAGAAGGACUUAUGAGGCUACUUAAGGAUGAAGAGCAGAAACAGGCAGUUCAGACGGGGGGUUCACCCCACUCCUCU